rnacentral:rRNA from 1 species
AGAUUGAACGCUGGCGGCAUGCUUUACACAUGCAAGUCGAACGCGAAAGCGGGGGCAACUCCGCAAGUAGAGCGGCGAACGGGUGAGUAACACAUCGGAACGUACCCAGUCGAGGGGGAUAACCAGUCGAAAGAUUGGCUAAUACCGCAUACGCUGGAGACAGGAAAGCGGGGGACUUGGGGGCAACUCAGGCCUCGCGCGAUUGGAGCGGCCGAUGUCUGAUUAGCUAGUUGUGGGGUAAGGCCCACCAAGGCGACGAUCAGUAGCUGGUCUGAGAGGAUGAUCAGCCACACUGGGACUGAGACGCGGCCCAGACUCCUACGGGAGGCAGCAGUGGGAAUUUUGGACAAGUGGGGGCAACCCUGAUCCAGCCAUGCCGCGUGAGGGAAGAAGGCCUUCGGUUAGUAACCUCGUUUCCGGACCGGACGAAGUCGACAGUCGUACCGUAACGAGGUGU